GGUCCACAUGACUGUCAGGCUCAGAGAAAAUGCGGGUUGUUUUUGUGUCAGUCGUUAAUUCUGCAACAGUGACUCUAACUGACGCAGCACUAGUUGACAGACAGCAUUACAGCGUGAAAUCCAGCACAGCGUGACCCGGUUCCGUGAGGAAUUCUGUUCAGGAGGUCGCAUUUCAGGCUCUCCACAUCAUAUGUGACUGACUUUUACGUUAUAAUAACAUCACACACUAGGAAUGUUAUAAAGUGCCUAUAUGGGACAGUUUCUUUUGUAUUUUAUCUGACUUUAUAAACAUCAAUGUGCUUCUAUUUUUUUUUUCAGGCUAAAUCUACCCAAGACACUGGCUAACAGACUGAUUUAGUAAUCUGCAAGAAUGCACUUGUCCAGGCUGACGUGGUGUUACCCGUAGCAAAGGUGAAUUAUUUUUAAUAAUCUUCUAUGUAAACAUUUUAUUACCUUCUAGUUUUAAUUUGUUUUACAGAUUGUUACAAGUGAUUUUAUGCUCUUUUAAACGUUUAUAAAUGUGCUGCUUCUUUGUUUUUUAUACAGCUCACAGCCUCAGUGUCUUGUGACACAGGGACCAUGACAGAAAUUCAUCUUCCAGAAGGUCCCAGAGCAGCAUCCACACCUCCUGAAAAGACCAAGAUGUGAAGUGUCUGCUGUUGAUUCCAGCUUCCAUCUCAGUGACAGUGCAAGCUCAGUGAACUGUUCAAGGAGGCUACUGAUUCAGGCCCUGUGACACUUGGUGGUGACGUGUGAGCUGAUUCACCUGGACACUCAGCAAAAUAUGGACUCUACACCAUGAGGCAGGCACACGUUAAUAACUCUAUAAGAGCACAUAAGCCUGGCUGAUCACCUGAUAACUCCUGUCAUCUGGUUAUGACAGCAUGAGGAUGUCCUCACACACCUGUAACCUACCAGCUCAUCUGGCAGAAUAGAGAGAGAAGAGACAACACCACAUCUCCUGUUCCUGGAAAGCCUUCAGCCAUCCUUCGAUGACUGAGAACCUCCAUCAGCUCUGUCUCCUGUCUGCCUACAAUUAUUAUAAAGCCAUGUGAGGAUGCAC